GUGAUAAUAAGAAAGAAUAUUGAAUCGUAGUCAGGUGUCUUCUGUUGGAAGAUCAGAUCAUUUCGAAGUAGCCAAAGAGACCAUGCCACUGAGAAGAACAACAUCAGCCACGCCUUCCUCUGAAAAUGACCAUGCACCAUGGAAGUCCAUUGAGACCACAAAUCUGAGAAGCUCUUUGGGCAACACCAAACUAAACCCCACCACUUAAUGAUUUUG
rnacentral:lncRNA from 1 species